rnacentral:rRNA from 1 species
GAUGAACGCUGGCGGCGUGCCUAAUACAUGCAAGUCGAGCGAACGGACGAGAAGCUUGCUUCUCUGAUGUUAGCGGCGGACGGGUGAGUAACACGUGGAUAACCUACCUAUAAGACUGGGAUAACUUCGGGAAACCGGAGCUAAUACCGGAUAAUAUUUUGAACCGCAUGGUUCAAAAGUGAAAGACGGUCUUGCUGUCACUUAUAGAUGGAUCCGCGCUGCAUUAGCUAGUUGGUAAGGUAACGGCUUACCAAGGCAACGAUGCAUAGCCGACCUGAGAGGGUGAUCGGCCACACUGGAACUGAGACACGGUCCAGACGCCUACGGGAGGCAGCAGUAGGGAAUCUUCCGCAAUGGGCGAAAGCCUGACGGAGCAACGCCGCGUGAGUGAUAAAGGUCUUCGGAUCGUAAAACUCUGUUAUUAGGGAAGAACAUAUGUGUAAGUAACUGUGCACAUCUUGACGGUACCUAAUCAGAAAGCCACGGCUAACUACGUG